rnacentral:miRNA from 1 species
UUUAAUCAGAAUCUAAAAGCA